CAUCCCUUCACUUCCAGUUUAGGUAUUUGCUUGCAGCUGAAGGGAGUCUCUUGUAGGGCAUAUAGCUGGGUUUUAUUUUUAUCCAUUCAGCCACUCUAUAUCUUUUGACUGGAGAAUUUCAUCUAUUUAAAUUUAAAGUAACUAUUAAUAGCUGGAAGAACUAACUUCCUUUAACUUCUCUUGUAAGGCUGGUCUAGUGGUGAUGAACUCCUUCAGCUUUUGCUUGUCUGGAAAACUAUCUUUCCACUUCUGAAGGACAACUCUACAGAUCACAAGAUGAAAGUCCACCUUCUGACUGGUGAAGGAGAACGGCUCACCUUCUGCACGACCCACUGCACAAGGCCCAGGUAGUAGAGAAUGGACAUCACACAUCCAAAGUAAAUGAUGACUGUUCCAGGACUUCCCAGGACCUCACCCAAACACAACAGGCCCAGCAGGAUCUUCUUGAACAAGCCGGCAUGUGUUUUGCAGAAACUUCGUGCCCUGGUGAAAGGUUGUAGGCUCCUCCUGACCCAUAACUCUGAACAAUCAGAUGUGCAUUGACAGAUUGUGAAGAAAACACCAAGACUCCCUGGAUGGGCAGCGCUUGAGAGAAAAUGCAUAGCAGAUGGCCUCAUUCUUGCUGUGGCCACACAUGACAGAGAGAGUGGGUGAGCUCUCUGGUUUUUCUUCUUCUAAGGGCAUUAAUCCCACCAGGGGGGCCCUACUCUCAUGACCUUAUCUAACUUAAUUAUGUCCCAAAGGCCACAUU